rnacentral:rRNA from 1 species
UACGGAGGGGGCAAGCGUUGUCCGGAUUCAUUGGGCGUAAAGAGCGUGUAGGCGGCCAGAUAGGUCGGUUGUGAAAACUCGAGGCUCAACCUCGAGACGUCGACGGAAACCGUCUGGCUAGAGUCCGGAAGAGGAGUGUGGAAUUCCUGGUGUAGCGGUGAAAUGCGCAGAUAUCAGGAAGAACACCUAUGGCGAAGGCAGCACUCUGGGACGGUACUGACGCUGAGACGCGAAAGCGUGGGGAGCGAACAGG